GGACGAACGCUGGCGGCGUGCUUAACACAUGCAAGUCGAACGGAAAGGCCCUUCGGGGUGCUCGAGUGGCGAACGGGUGAGUAACACGUGGGUGAUCUGCCCUGCACUUUGGGAUAAGCCUGGGAAACUGGGUCUAAUACCGAAUAUACCCUGCUGGUCGCAUGGCCUGGUGGGGGAAAGCUUUUGCGGUGUGGGAUGGGCCCGCGGCCUAUCAGCUUGUUGGUGGGGUGAUGGCCUACCAAGGCGACGACGGGUAGCCGGCCUGAGAGGGUGACCGGCCACACUGGGACUGAGAUACGGCCCAGACUCCUACGGGAGGCAGCAGUGGGGAAUAUUGCACAAUGGGCGCAAGCCUGAUGCAGCGACGCCGCGUGAGGGAUGACGGCCUUCGGGUUGUAAACCUCUUUCAGCACAGACGAAGCGUGAGUGACGGUAUGUGCAGAAGAAGGACCGGCCAACUACGU
rnacentral:rRNA from 1 species